CUCUGGUGGCUGCGGUGUUCCUUUUUUAGCUCCGCUGUCAUACACGACACCAUUUUGCAUUCAACGCCUGUUCGAUGUAACGAUGAUGCUUC
rnacentral:SRP_RNA from 1 species